rnacentral:piRNA from 1 species
UGGAUAUGUGCGGGUGCGUGUGAGCGUGU